ensembl:lncRNA
GGAACGGCCGCCGGGCGCUCUCCCACGGCCCCGCCGCGCACAAAGCGCCCUUUGAGGGGGAGCGGCCGCGGGGGGUGAAUCCUCCCCCCCCCCCCCGCUUCCAAACAUUGAAAUGAGGGGCGAAGCGGGGGGUGGCGGUCAGCGGAGCGGCGUUCUUUCAGCUCCGAAGUGCCGCGCUGAGGCAGAGCGCCGAGAGGAGGGCGGGAGGACGGAGGGGUUUUGUCGGGUGUCGUUUAGGGCAGCAGGCAGGACGCAGCGCAGCGCUGAGCCCCCCCAGCACACAGCCCUCGAAGUUCCCUUUGGAGAAGAAAGAAUUCACAAAAGCCAGCUUUCCACCCCGGCCCGCGGAGCGCCGAGUUCCUGCCCCGAAAUAUCUCGGCGAGGAGCGCUGCCAGCGGCUCCGUCCUCCUCCAGGACUCAUUUUCCUCUGUUUAUCUUGAAAAUAUUUCUGUGCUGAGGUCCCACCCAGCGGCACACAGCCCUGCACGGCCGCCUCCAGCCGACACACAGCCCUUGUUUAUGUGGAGCGGAGCCGACGGAGCGCAGGGCCGAUGCUGGAGGAGAGCCCCCCCAGCACAGAGCGUCCCGCCCCGCAGCUCCCCGCUCACCCACUGACACACAGAUGCCUCCAGUUGCUGGUUUGGGAGUUUCUCGUGGUUUAUGUGAUAAUAAUGGCAAAGAAUGCUGCGGUUGAAUCUCCUAGAGCUCUGCUGAGAGUUGGGCACAUCCUGGGGUGCAGUGAUGCUCCGUCUCUGGUCCACGGGUGUCUGCAACAACCGCCCUGCAGCGGGCACAGAGUUUUGCAAGAGGCCGUUGCAAAGGUUUCAGUGUGAAUGUGCUGGGCUUCGUGGCAGAGGGCUGGGAUGGGGACCUGGCUGUCCCCUCACCACCCCGCUGCAGGAUCUGACCCCGAUUUGGGGCGCCCACCCUGAGCAUCCCCUCCCCAAACCGCUCCCCCUUCCCGCAGCAUCACGCCGUGCAAACACCCUCAAUCACAGCAACGCUCAAAGCCCGGCCAGCAGGAUUGAGUUACCUGCCCUGGAAGAAUAAAGGAGGCAUUCAGCCAGAGCUUACGCCUUUCCCCCUGCCAAGGCCCGACACCACGGUGACGGUCACACGCAGAGGCACAGAAACACGAGCCCCGGUGACCCCGAUCUGCAUCCCCCCUCCUCCCACCCCACGGCACCGGGCAGAGCGCACGCUUUGCUUUGCUUGCCCGUCACGAGCUGCCUUAUCUUUUAAUAGAACCUUUAAGAGCAGAAGUCAGGCUACCCGGGCACAAAGGCGGCUAAAUCUCCUCCCGGGACAUUAAUCAUUUUUCUUUGACAUGUUUUGCUAAUUAGACGAAGCGUUUCCCUCGAUGGGGGGGGGGGGCUGGGAAAAAGAAAGAAAGAAGGGGGAGAGGUGGAAGAGAGGAAGGAGCAGGGCAGAAGGACCGAGGUGUAACGCUGCUCCAUUCUUCAAGCACCAGCUUGCAGGGAGCAGACCCAGCCCACGUGGCUCCAACAUCAUCAGGACGUGGCGAUCACCGUCCCUGGAGGUGCCCCAGGCCGUGGUGGGCAUUGGGCAGCCUGAGCUGAGGGGGGCAGCCGGCCCAUGGCCACCCAUCUGUGCCUAUGGGUGCGUGAGCUGAGAUGCCCCACGGGGGGAAAACACAGAGGGUGAAGGUUUCUCCCCCCUGUGCAGCCACUGCUCGUGGAUGCAUGGAGCGUCCCCUGCGAUUUCUUAAAAUGCACCGUUUGUCUGGGAUUCCUGGCAAUGCCUGCUGCUGCACCCACAGACAUGGCCUGGCACCCCCACAGCCCACGGCUGAGGGCUCAUUUGGGGCUGUAGAAGGCAGCAGGAAGCCUCUGCCAUGGUGGCUUGUCAAUAGGUCCUCUAACUGCAGGGACAGGGACAAGCUUGUCCCGGGCAGGACUGGCUCCUUUUUGCAAGAGUCCAACUCAGCUCCCCCAGGACCCGAUGGUUUUUUUUGUGGGGAACAGAAUAACCCACAGCGAAAUCGCUAUGAGGACGCACUGAAACAAAAUCCCGACAAGAAACCGCUGCCUGCUCGUGCCCCCCGGCACUGCAGAGCAUUCGCUCCCAUCGCUUACCAGCAGCUCCAACCCAAACCCUCCAUGUGCAAACCUUUGGGGCAGCGCUAUGGGGCAGCGCUGCAGAAAUCAAUCACAGCGCCGCACUCCCUGGGCGCUCUCCUCAUUGCUGCGGGAUGACACACUCUGCCCCUCCCCCCCCCCCCCCCACCCCCCUCCCGCCGCCCCCACCACCAAAACAAAGCGCUGUUUCUAAUUUGGGGUGUUUGGAAAUCAUUUUCCAUCCCGGCUUCCAAACGAAACCAAAAAAGACAUUUGCUUUCCAGAGCACCGCGGAGGGGUCAGAGCUCUGCGGGAGAGCGAAAAGCCGCGGGAAAAAACGAGUGCUGCACCCCCACACCCAUUUCCAAGAAAAAUAAAAUAAAUUACAAGAAGACAAUGCUGUUAAAUAUAGAGCAUAAAGCACAGCUCGGCACCAUUCAUCAUUCGGGGGGUGUUGUCGCCAACAUCUCCCCGGCGGAUCCUGUUGGCUGUUGCAUCCCCAGGGGACGCGUUGCGGGCGUGCUGAUGCUGGCCCGGGGAGCAGCAGAGGGGCGGUGGGAACCCCGCGGGUGCCUCCGCCGCUGUGUGAGAGCUGCUGGAAAAUCAUAGUCCUCUCCCGAGUUAAAUUCAGCCCUGGGAGCGCCGUCGGGCCGCGUCCCGGCGCGGUUUGUACAGCCAGAGUGGGGUGGAAAAAAGGAAAAGCCUUCAAGGUGAGGAAAGCGCUGUGGGAAGGUCGGCAUCCCAGGUGCUUUCGUGGGGAGAGUGAGGAGGAGCAUCCGGCACGCCGCAAAACAAGUGUUUUUCCAUAAGUUGCUGGUGGAAAGAGCAGAUCAGAGCAGGUAGCUGCGUCCUGCACGGGGGUCCCCAGCUCUGGGGUCUCUGAUAGGAGCCUCAUGGGUGGGGGAGGGUGCUUGGAGCAUCACCCCACUGCGAGGCUCCAUUCUGCCCAGGGUGAGGCAGGGAAACCAAACUGGGUUCGUGUCUGCAAGGCUUCAAUGGAGAACCCCAAGACAUGAAAGGUCUCCAGGCCAUGGGGCGGCAUCCUGGUGGUGGUUGGACAUGGAGCUGUGUUGGACACGGAGCAGUGGUGGAGAUGGAGCAGUGGUGGAGAUGGAGCACUGUUGGCCAUGGAGCAGUGUUCAGUCCACAGCAUCAGGGCAGGAUUUCCCACCCUUCCCAGCUCAAUUCCUGUGAGCAUUUCUCAUGGACACCCAACGUGUGCCAUCACUGGACUCACAACUUCUCCUCAUCUCCUCCCCACCUCCAUCUGCCCCCGAAGUGCUGCACAGAGCACUGGGAGGGCCCCGAGGAGGAAAAAAAAAAUAGAAAAUAAUCAGAACUGUUUAAAAAAAAAAAAAAAAAGCCACUGGAAACAAACAAACAGCUCUGAUUUAUCGCUCACGAGAAGAAAUGGUGCAUGUUGGAAGCAAGCACAGGAAGUCCUGGGGACAAUAAAUCCCGCACGGGAGCAGAGAACCAACACAGUUCCACGUUCGGGAACGCAGCGAGGAUAUGGAGACAGCGGGAGGGUGAAGGGGGGGAAUUUGGGGUGGGACCCCAAAGCAGAGGGGUGCGGAGCUGGGAGCGCUCUCCCCAUCACCUCGAGUUUUGGGAUGGAGCCCAGGUGCCGGCAAAGGGAUCCGCCGGGACCCCCCGCUCUGAUGUGGCCGUGUGAGGACGGGGAGCAGCGGGGCUCCGUCCCGACCUCAUCACCCGCGGAACACCAGCAAUCCUGGCUGUGCUGUGGGUACAGAAACAGCACGUCCCCACUGCUGGCCGGGGCUCCUGGCAGCCCCAGGGAGGAUUUGGCUGCGCAGGAAUUUGGAAGCUGCCUGAAAUCCCGAAGAAAUGAGGGAAGGCUGAGGAGUGUCGCUGUGAUGGAGGCUCAGCCCCGCCACGGCAGCUUGCAGCACCCCACGCAUGGCGCCGGCAGCAAACUGGGAGCUGUGGCUGUGGGAUAUCAUCCCCUCUUCUAUGGGGACACCGCAGGGGCUCCCCAGGACCCCCUGACCCCAUUCCCCCCCCCCCCCCCCCCAUGGCUGGGGGUCACAUUUGUUGCAUCCUUUGGGAUGAGGCAGAAAACACCACAGCACUCAGUGCCCCAUCUCCGUUUCAUUGUCCUCCCCGCACCCAAACGUGGUUUGUUUUUAGCCCGGGAAGGCGGUGGGGUGGGGGGGAGGGAUGAGGCUGAUUAUUAAAUGCCAUCGGCUCCAAUUAAUCCCCCAAAUUGACUCAGAGGUACCACGGCGCCCAUUCCGGUGAAUGUUUUGCCAUCUUUCAGUGCUGCUCUGCAGAUCCGACCCAUAGCAGCCAUGGACAGACCCAACGGAUCAGAUGUGAUCCCAAACGCGAUGGCAGUGAGCCCGGGCUAGGAAAGCAGAGAUCCCAAACCCACCCCGUUGGGCACAUCGUGCUGCACCAGCGCCGCUCUGCAGAAGGCAGCUGGAGGCUCUGCCCCUAUCCCAGCGCCGGCUGUGGGGGAUUUACCAGCACCAGCACGGCCCUUUGCUUUGCUUUCCGAACGAAAGUAAAGCGGAGCAGUUUGCAGAAGGUUCUCAUUAGGGAAACAUCUGGAGUCAGCCCUUCUCCCCCAAAGGGCAGCGGAGUGCUCGGAGGAAUCGGGGGAGGAGGAGGGAUGGAUGGCUGAGGCGUGUUUCGGCGUGCUGCCGGGGCAGGGACCCAAGGAAGGUCCCAGCAGCGCUCCCAGCAUCUGUCCCAGCGCCCGGGGGUGCCCGGAUCUGUCCGCUGGGAUGGAUGGGGUAAGGAUGCUCCCGGUCCCUUGAGGGACACGGGCUGGUGGCGCUGCCGUCGGGGGACGUCACCCCCUCCUCCGGGUGCCCUUCCCGCUGCCUUUGGGCGCUCACUGCGGAGGAGCGCGGGUCCGGAGCGGCGCAGUGCGUAGCGCGCGGGGUACGUCCCGCAGAUGGGACCGUCCCCUCUCCUGUCCCCAUCACACAGGCUGUAGUGACAUCUGCUGGGCUCUCACUGGGGAAGUCCCGCGGAACCCGCACGGCACGGACCCUCCGGCGCCGCACAGACCCGGAUGGCAGCGCUUCCCCUCGUCCUGGGAGAAACGACGGAUGUCUGACGGCCGCGGUGUGCCCCGACGUGCCGCCGUUGCUGCGAGGGCGUCGCUGUCCGUAUACGGUGACAAAACCAAACUGGGACCCAUCCGUGAGCGCAGCGCGCCCGCAGCGUCCCGCUGCCCGCAAGGGGCUCUGCUGGGAGCGGAGUGCUGCACGGACAGCGGGGUGAUGGAGUGGGGACGGCUGUGGUCACAGCCCCCAUGGAGAGGGCAGGGGUGGCACUGUGCUACUGGGGGGCGGGAGAGACCUGGAGCUGGAGAAACCCUGCGCCCACCUGGGAGUGGGAAAGGACGCGAUGAGGAGCGGGUAGGGAUGGGGGCAGGCUGUUUAUCUGGAGCUGAUUUUGAUUUUCCCCUUUCUGAUACCAGCAGGAUGCCGUGCUGCGCCUCAUUAUGCAAAUAGAAGCAAUUAGAGCUCACCCAGGCUCUGCCCACGUGAUGGUUUAUGGCACUCGCAGAAAUCCUUCCUGCUACAUGAGGAGAAUGACAACGGCCCCGGGCUGCAGCCAGCGCACCCCAACCGCGGGGAGCUGAUGGCGGUGCCUUUGGUGGAGCCCCACAUCAGGGACCGACCCCAUCACUGCUGCCCAGAAGCGCCCACGGGAGGGACUGCCCAGGAGGAGCCCCCCAACCCCCCAGGUGACAUCGUGGCACUGGGGACGGCUGCAGCCCUCAGCCCCGAGGACGGCACGUGGGGCUGCAGUGCCACGCGUGGCAUACAUCAGUGCAGCUCAGUCCGCCCAACCGGGGGCUGCCGUGGUUAUCCCACGGUCACCCAUUCCGAAAUAGAAUAUGGAAGGCAAACAUGUACAGAGUCGCCAGCCCACCUCACGCCGGACUUCCUCGGUGUAUUUUCAGUUCCUUGAGCAGGGAAGGGCUGUCCUGGGCCCAGUGCUCAUCGUGGCACAAGAGGCGUCCAUCAGUAGCGCAGGGUGCGGACACAGCGAGGACCGGAGCACAGAGAGCAGCCCCGUGGGGACACAGCAUUGGAGGCUCUGGGACUACCUGAGGGCCACUGAUGGGUGAGAGAGUUGAUUUUAAAGUGGAGGAUCUCCAAUAAAGGCAGAGGAAUACAACCUCCAAUGGGCACAGGGGAAGGGCAGAACUCACCCAGCAAGGAGCCAGCAGGGCACGGCCUGCACAGCCAACGGUGGGGAGGGCUGGAAUCCCCUCCCGGGUUCGGGAUGCACUCGGUGUGCUUUUAAAGGGGCUCUGGUUGUGCUUCAAAACAGCCUGUCUGUAAUUGCCAAAAAAAUAAUUAAAAAAAAAAAAUAGACAAAACAACCCGCUACAAUGACUAAUUAGCUCGCUCCUGCCUCGUACCCUGUAAACAAAUGUAUUUGUAACCAAUUUGCAAGCACUUUGCAUAAGGGGCCCAGAACACUCAUGCCUGUUUGAUGCAUUUUGACAUUAAUUUGAUAAUAGCGGCUUAACAAGGAAUCCAGGCUCCCUAGCUAUAAAUAUGCUGCUUUUCCCCCUCCUUUUAUCUGCACAGUGAAAUAAUGUUGUUUUUCCCCCUGCUGCAAUAACCACCAUCCAACCCUUUCAUGAACACCCUUUAUGUCCUUUAGCAUUUGCAAGGCUUUUUUUUUUUCCUCCUCUCUCUUUUCUUCCCUCCUCCUGUAGAAAGCAGGAGGGUUUUACGAGCUGUCCUCUUCAUUCCUGGUUACGGAGGGGAUGGAGAGGACAGCGAUGGUGCUCCAAUAAUGCUGCUUAUGGGAGAGUGGCUCAGAAGCCCUUCCUCCAUCCACCUGUGCUCCCCACCUGUGGCAGGGAUGCAGCUCAUCCUCUUUUCCCCCUUCUCAGCACGCUGUGGAUCUCCAACUCCACGCAGCCCUUCGGUGCCACACCAGCAGCAAAUGGGAGCACAAUGAAAUGGGAAUGGGAUGCUGGGGACAGCAUUGGUGCCACCCAGAGCACAGGUCCCAGCCCCAGUGGGUGGCACCGCAGCAUCGCCAGAGCCACCGCGUGUCCCACAGACACCAAACCACAGCCACAGCCCAUCCCUGCCCCAGCAGCAACACUUCUCUCCUCCUGGUCCCUCCCAAAGCUUCCCAUCUAUGUGUAGAACCGCGGGAUGGUUGGGUUGGAAGGAACCUUAAAGACUGCGGAAUGGUUGGGUUGGAAAGGACCUCACAGCCCCUCAGCCUCAACCCUGCUGUGGGGCAGCGUGGAACAAUAAUGUGACUGAAUGGCUGCAGAGCUCUCACCCUGCUGUCUCCCGGCUCCCCUACGGCCCCCACCUGGGAACAGUCACAGCUCUGUGCCAGCAGAUGUGCCGCAGGGGCACAGCACAGCUCCAGGACGAGCUGCUCCAUCCCCAGCCCUCCUCUGGGAUUAUUAAUGCCCAAACAAUGCAGUGAGCCCCAGCGAUAAGCCAGAGCCCCAGCAGAGUACAUUCCUUCCUCAGCCUCCU